ACACUGCCCCCUGGUGGCGGCAGGAGACUGGAACACUGCCCCCUGGUGGCAGGAGGAGGCUGGAACACUGCCCCCUGGUGGCAGCAGCAGGCUGUUGCAUUGAGACGGUAUGGCUGCAGCCUGGAGCCUCCCGUGUGAUGCCCCUGUCUCAUGACUCUCGUGUCAUGCUGCUAGUCUCAUAGCGUGGGUGUGUGCAACAGGAAGUGUACACGGUAAAGCGGUGCUUUCAAAGAUCAAGGAAUGCGACCUGAGACAACCAGGGCGACGCAGUAAUACGCCUAGAGGCGUCUACACUGCCGGAAAUUAAAAGAAGAUGAGGAAGAACAAGAUGAAGAAGAAGAAGCCGCGGCGGCGCUUUCAGUCAUCGAUGGCGUUACAGAUCCACCCUGGUGGUUUUUUUAAAAACAAACCCACCACCGGUGCCGAGAUGCACGGUGUGCUGCCCCCUCCCACGGCCCCCAGGUGCCCCACUGGCCGGCAGUGGCCCCGGCCACAGGCCGUGGCUCCACAGCACCUGGAGCUGCAUGAAACAACACACUCCAACAAGAAGGCUGGUUCCCCUCUGUCAGCUCUGGACUACACCACGGCCACGUUUUUGCUCGUCAUCACUGCCUUGGUCAGAUAUUUGUCAGCUUCAUGUUACCAGGAACGCUCACAGUGUUGGACAUGAGGUUUUGGUCUCUUCAUCGAUUGUAACAGAACCACAAGUCGUCAGGCCUGCAGGCCUGGAGCAGAGGCCAGUUUCACCGCCCUUCUGUUCUGGAGCGAAAGUGAAAAGACAGGAUGCAGAGAGCAGCGUUGUCACAGAUUACUUGAAAAGAAAAUCAGCUUUAUGAGCGAGGCCGAGCGCAGGAACUGUGAACAGAGCCGUGCACGCCCGGAGAAGAGGAGCCAUCGAGGCGUUUCCUCUGGAGAAGCCGUCCAGCAGGGAGGACGGUCCAGCGCAUGCGCGAGUGGAGGAGAGUCCAGGACAGGACAGAAGGGAGUACAGGAGGAUACGUCUAGUGACUGCAGGACACUACCAGAAACAUCUUUGCCAUUCAGUCCCAGCAUGGACAACCCCCCCCCCCCCCCCCAAAGAAAACUACUCUUUGUCAACACUGUAAUCUGAAGAUUCUUAAAAAAAGCAUGAAGAAACAUUUACAGAAGACACGCUGACAUUGCUCACAGAGACAUCAGUGCUUCUUCCCAUCUUGAUGCCAUGUGCGCAGACCAGAGAAAUGAGAUACUUGCUGUGGAAAAAUGCUUUAUUGGACCACUUGUGCCUCUGCAUGUGCAAAAGAAAACUUGGGGGAAACUACAUCAGGUAAAGUGUGAGUCCAGCGAGUGGCAGAAGGACUGUGACUUUGCUGUCCGGAGCGGCUUGACCACCUUUCAGUGCCAUCAUGUCCGCUCUUUGGAUUACUGCUCAGCAAAUGGCAUCCAGACGGCGCUCCAUGAAGACACACUAAGUGAUAUGGUUGAAAACGAGAAACGCCAGUGUCUCCAGCUGCAGUCUCAGGCAGCUAGCGGACCAGCCACAGCUGAUCUCACCCUGAAGUCGGAAUGCAAACGAUAUACAUCGGUCUUAGAACCAACUGUAAGCUGCUACAGGGAGAGUCAUGGUCACUUACGACACAAGACUGAAUACAUGGCGCUGUCCGUGGUCAAAGCCAAGAAUGCCGUGCAUUCAUAAAGACCUGGCCACAUGGCAUUUCUAUGAGAGCCAGCGUCAUCUCUUCAGGAAGGUACGGAGCACAGACAUAACUUUAGAGGGUGAGCCACAACCAAAAUGUGGGUAUAAGAUCCUCCUGAGGAUAACCAACUACACAGGAUGGUCUCAUGUCUUCACUCCACGAAAAAGUACCCGCCUGUUUCACCAGAAAAUGUCCGAUCCGCCAAAAAAGAAGAAAGCCCACAAGAGCUUGUUCCAGGAGAAACGGUAUGCUCUUCAUGACCAGGAGGCUUCGUUCUCGGCCCACCAGUGCUCAUCACAAAACAAGCACAGAUCGUGUCUUUGACCGGUGUUCUGAGAGGUGUUCACACCGACUGCAGAGACUGCAGCAGAUGUGGGACGCCUUACAGACUCCAGGAAUAUCUGGAUGGUUUACAGAACUUUGAUCAUGGCGUCAUUUUGACUCUAAACUUGUGCAUCUUUCUACGGAACUCACUUCAGGCUCACACUGCUGUUGGGCGAGUUUUUGAUGCCCUAGAAGAAACUCUGCUAACAGUUUUGCCAAGCAGGGACCGGCUCCUUCAUUCAUAUCUGCAUGUUGAAGCUCUCACAGCACACGAAUACAAAUAUUCUUGUGUGAACUGUGGACACGUCCCUCGUGUAGUGCUGAUGGAUCUUCACAGAAGGAGGUGUUCGGCAUGCCUUGUCAGUGAUAUCGAGCCAGUCCCUGAGGAUUUCACAGGACAGGAAGCCCAGCUGUCGGUUUUGGACACCUUGGAUUGGACGAGACACACGGCGGUCCCACAUAGUGCUGAACACAGAAUUCCUAAAAGGUCAAGGUCCAAGACAGUCAGCAGAGGCUCCGGUGUGACAGAGGACAGACUCACCAAUCAGUUAAUGGAUGUGAAGGACUGAAUGCAGAACAUACAGGCCUACGGCAGAGUAUCUGAGAAGAUCUGGGGAGAAUCAGGUGGUUUGGCCGUCAUCGUGUGCCCAUGCGGUGUGGUUUACAGCUUGAAGUUCAACAUUAGAGCAGAGGGUCUCGAGACUUUGCUGAUAUGCUGCUGUCAUGGAAACAUCUGCCCGAUGUCUCCGUGGAAGACUUUAAAGAGGCCUUGUAAACCACACACACGUGAGCCAGAACAUCCACUAUUCCAGCCACAUGGAGGCCAUCUUGCUCCUCCAACACCACCGAGCGUAAAGGCUGCCAUGGACAGAAAACUGAAACUCCACCGUCCUUUCCUUGUGGAGCCAAACGCAAACAGUGAUGAAGAAUGUCCAAGCAGUAGACCGCUACGAGGUUCCAACGUGGCUACAGUCACGACCUGUGGAUGCCUCGUCUCUUCCAGGUCUCCCAAGUCAGCAAGAUGGAAAUCCCUGUGGGCCCCUCAUGCUAAAGAUGUUUGGGCUGCUGUGGAAAUGUCUGGGCCUGCCUGGCAGUGAAAACACAAGACGGGAUGAAUAACAUAUGAAGGAAAUGUCUGGACAGAGAGGAUGAGACGGACACGUUCAGGACGUGGUGGUUCCUGCUGCUCCGGUCCGGUCGUUCAGCUGUCCGGAAUGAUUUAAUGAUCACAUUUAGAACUGUAUUCCCAAAGGGCAUGCAGAUAAAUGUUUUGUUUUCCUAAUCUCUAGCAUGUCAUUUAAAAAAAUCUUUGUCUUGUAAAGUUUGGCACAGAAAAGGAAAGCAGCAGAUCCCACUGGAGACUCACCCCAUGAAAUGUUAUGGCCUGCAUGUUAAAGCUUCUUUAUUUUAUAGUAGUAUAACUUUUUCCUGACAUACUAAAAUGAGCUUGUGGUGAUUGAUUUUUAACUGAUCUUUGUUGUCCUGAGAAAAGUCAGUCGUUGUUAUCUGUGUCCAGACAACAGCAGGACAAUCCCUCUGGAAGAAUCGGUGAGUGUGGUUGAAAUUAACCUUAUAUAAUAGUAGGUUUGGGACAGUAUACUGCUAAUCUACCCAAUGAAGUACCAGAGUACUACAUUAUGUGCUAAUUCAGGAGACUGUGCAUCCACAAGGGAUCCUGGAGGCCAGUCAGGAGCUGAUCGUGAUGUUCAAACCACUGUCCUACAAUACAUCACUGACAAUGAAAAAGGGCUACAAGUGAUUUUGACAUCCAUCUAUAUUCUUUUCAGAUUCCAGGAAUAUGUCUGGAGGACAGACUUCUGGAGGCGGUCCUCCAAGAUGGCGAGCAGCGCUGCUGACCUUGGCCCUGGCGUGCUCCUCUUUCAGAGACAUUGUCUCCAGUGUGUCUUUUAGAGAGAAAACAGGUUUGGUGGCUUGACGGUGUUGCUACUUGGAGCAAGUUUUCCAGCAGUUACACUGAAGAAUUCUGAGCGACAGACUCGGUAGAAACCUGCGUCAUCAUUUUAAAGGUAUACUGGAGGAUCCUUAGACCCAAUCAGCGUUGUCUGGUUCCAACUCGUGAUUGGGCAGUCGUAAUGUCAGUCAGUGUGGAACGUGUUUGCGGGAUGACGUGUCCUGUGGAGUCGCCGCCUCUGUGGCGCUCUGGUUUGGAGCCGCCAUGCGCAGAGCGUUGUUCAGGAAGUGACGCAGUGGAGCGACCAUCGUAGAAGCAGCUUGCUCCUCCCGCGAACACCUCCGAAUGGCCAGCCACAAAAACAUAUCAUUGUUUGAGAUGGCAGAGGAGAGAAGAAAGGCCACAGAAAGGAAGUGUUUUCCUGGGAGAUUCCUUUACGAGGCGGCGGACAUUCAGAGCACAAAGGGAUUUCGGACUGAUCAGGACGAGGGGAAGUUCCUGCUGGACAGGCGACCUGCUGAUGAUCCCAUUCUGAUGUGUUUCUGCUGCAUAAACACUGUUGAGAGUUCCAUGAUGUCGACUCCUCCAACACACUCAGGAUGGACGAGGCCUCCACCCCCAGCUGUUUCACAAGACCAGAGGAGGACAGUACGUCUCGGCUACGCCGAUGUUCUCGUCUUUGUGGGAGUGAAGGCGUGUCAGUGCUGGGGGUAAAGCCACUCAGAAGCAGCAGCAGUAGCGGUGGUGAGGGGAGCACUGCACCUCCACAACAAGCAAGUGUUGAUUGGGACGAUGAUAGGUGGACCCCGGACACGGAGGAGACGUUAUCCUCUUCAGAAGAAGAGUCGACUUCUGACAGCGACAACAGCGAAGGCAGCGGUUGUGAUUUCGCCCCAUUAGUCUACGUCUCCGCGGUGCGGCAUUGGAUGAACGUCCUGCCAUCGGUGUGGAGGAACCGGUGCAGGACCCAGUCCUCCAGAUGCACCAGUUGUCCCAGAAGAGGAUGUUGUUGGUGAAACUGCAUCCACAGUGUACCAGGACACCGUCACGCAGCUGUUGGACUUCCUCAUCCCUCCUACUGGAAGUUUCCCAGAGAAGAACGCCACCACGACUGAGCCAUGCAGCGCAGAGCAGCCCUUUGAAGUCCCGGUGAAAUCCCGAUGCUCCGCUGUCAUUGCUGAAUGGGUUUGUCCAAAUGGACAUACUGUCUGGAAGUGGAGCUCAGCGAUGCUUCAGAUGUGGGAUGCUAGCUGGGGACUUCAUGCUCGGAGUCAACAUUCUUCUCUCGGGGAAUAACUUUCGUGAAGUGGCCCUGCUCCUUAAAUGUAUGAACAUUGGAAUGAUAGACCCUGCAACAUUCCACAAAACACAAGAGCGACUCUGCCUGGACACGAUUGAGGACUUUUGGAAGAAUUAAGGAAUCAAUGUGACUGAUCAGUGAGUC